rnacentral:rRNA from 1 species
ACGGAGGGUGCAAGCGUUGUUCGGAAUUACUGGGUGUAAAGGGCGCGUAGGCGGUUGUGUAAGUCAGAUGUGAAAUCCUUAGGCUUAACCUGAGAACUGCAUCUGAUACUGCGCAACUAGAGUACAGGAGAGGGAAAUGGAAUUCCCGGUGUAGAGGUGAAAUUCGUAGAUAUCGGGAGGAACACCAGUGGCGAAGGCGAUUUCCUGGCCUGAUACUGACGCUGAGGCGCGAAAGCAUGGGGAGCAAACAG